rnacentral:rRNA from 1 species
UACGUAGGGUGCGAGCGUUUGUCCGGAAUUACUGGGGCGUAAAGAGCUUGUAGGCGGUUUGUCGCGUCUGCUGUGAAAUUUCGGGGCUCACCCGAACUUGCAGUGGGUACGGGCAGACUAGAGUGUGGUAGGGGAGACUGGAAUUCCUGGUGUAGCGGUGAAAUGCGCAGAUAUCAGGAGGAACACCGAUGGCGAAGGCAGGUCUCUGGGCCAUAACUGACGCUGAGAAGCGAAAGCAUGGGGAGCGAACAGGA